UAAAUUGAAAGAAAACUUGGAUAAACAUAAAACAGAUGACAAAGGAAUUGAUGACGUUGGGUUUGCAAUGCAAGAACCUAUGACACAAGAGGUAGAUCCAUCAGCUAAAGUAACAAUAGAAGAUGUUAUAUGAGACUGCAAGACAGAUAAAAAAUUAGAGUUACCUGUCAUAUGGUCUGUAGAACCAUAAUUAAUGACCCAUUUGGAAUGGGAAGACACAAGGCAUGAUGUGGAAUUACCUGACUUGGCGAGUGCAAUGACAGGGGAACUGGUGGACUUUAAGGAUGCUUGAUAUUGGGAGAAUUGUGCAAAUUCUUUAGCAGACAUCAAAAUAGUUUUCUCUGAGGAUGGGGUUUUCUCUAAGGAUGGGGCUGUAUACUCCCUGACUGCUAUGUUGGCUAUCUGAGAUCGUCGGUUCUUAUUUUGAAGUUUCAAACAUGUGUGCUUUGUAUGACCAGGUUCAUGACAGUAAUAGCAAACAACUCCAAAAUCUCGAUCAGAGGCAGACUCUCCAUGACGGUGAUUACCUCUAUUGGCAGUAAUCCCUCUAUUGCCCCCUCUACUAUUAUGCCGUCCAUUAUCAUUGCGACUCACAAG
rnacentral:lncRNA from 1 species